CCUACGGGUGGCUGCAGUGAGGAAUAUUGGUCAAUGGUCGGGAGACUGAACCAGCCAAGCCGCGUGAGGGAGGAAGGUACAGAGUAUCGUAAACCUCUUUUGUCAGGGAACAAAGGCGUGGACGUGUCCCCGGAUGAGUGUACCUGAAGAACAAGCAUCGGCUAACUCCGUGCCAGCAGCCGCGGUAAUACGGAGGAUACGAGCGUUAUCCGUAUUUAUGGGGUUUAAAGGGGGCGCAGGCGGUCUGUUAAGUCAGGGGUCAAAGCCCGGGGCUCAACCCUGGCACGCCGUUGAAACUGGCAGGCUCGAGUUGGAGAGAAGUAUGCGGAAUGCGCGGUGUAGCGGUGAAAUGCAUAGAUAUCGCGCAGAACUCCGAUUGCGAAGGCAGCAUGCCGGCUCCACACUGACGCUGAGGCACGAAAGCGUGGGUAUCGAACAGGAUUAGAUACCCUUGUAGUC
rnacentral:rRNA from 1 species